AUGAUGUCAUGUCUAUGUUGUGGGCCCGUGUGUUAUCUAUGUUUGUCUUUGUGUACCAGUUUGUCAUAGAUGAUGGAAUUGGGCUAAAAUGGUGCAAGAAAACGGUGUGCUAGACAAUGGUUUAUCGGAUUUGCAUUGUUAAAUGUAAAAAUUAGAAAUUAUAGAAUAAUCUGAGGUUUGUGGGCAGAAACUGGUCCAACGAGGAGAGUGCCCAGCCCUCAUAAAAAAUGUGAGAGUAAGAGAGAACAUACGUUGUAGAAUUGGAUAAAAUUAAAUUGUGAUUGCAGAUGUUACAUUUAGGAGGAAUUAUUGAUCGAUUAGACUAUACAAGGUGGUAACAUGUAAGAAUAAGUCAAAGAUUUGAAUCACUUAGAGUUAAAAACAACAAAUAAAAACGACAUUGCAUGGGGCACUUUUUAUUAAAAGAACACCAAGUAAAGUAUUAAGUAGGGGGCAUUCGUGAUUGGGAUUAAAUUUAGGAUAAAAUUAGGUCAAUGAUUAGAAAUCAAUGGUGUUCCUUGUUAUUCUCUUAUCCCCUGCAUUGUAAAUAUCUUCUUUAUGCAGAUAGGUUAACAGGCUAGGAAUUUAGUGAGGAGAUAAUUGAUCAAUUGAUGGGGGUUAAUAAUUGUCCAAAUUCUAGUCACAUGUUUUGAGGGACCACAACAACAACAUUAUAUUUAAUUUGCAGGCCAUUAUUUAGUAUGUGAUGACAGUGUCUAGAUAAGUAGACUGUUUUAUCAAAAAAUGUGAGAGUGAAGGAGGUUUGAUUUGUAAUCUGGCAUUUGGGUGCCACUUUUAAGAGUCUGUGCAGGAGCAUAGAUUGUUUUUGUUUGUUUGUUUAUCUCGGUGCAGUAAGGAUAUAGCAAUUUUGAAAGACUUAAAAUUAAAAGCAAAAUUACAUUUUAAUUCUGACAUAUGCCAGCUAACAUGAGGAUGGCAAAUAAAUAAAUGAAUUCUAAAUUCUAUAAAUGACUAGCUCAAAUGUGGCAUGUGUUUUAAAUUGGGCGAUAAGACAUUCACUUUCAAGCACUAUCCUUUAGCGCUGCUGACAAUAAUAACUUAUGAGAUGUUAAAUCAAGGAGGAGUGUCAUAUUUGGAACACAGGCGCUGUAUGACCUAUAGAUUGAACAAUAACAUUUGCUGCAUAUACAACCAUGUUGGUAGAAUGUUAAAUUACAUUACAGUUUAUUACAAAGGAUUUCGGAACUUUAUUUGAUGAUAAACACUGGAACGAGGAUUUUAGCCGUGUUAAUGGGUAGGGUGGAUGGAUUACUCAGAA